AAUNCUUUGAGGACUGAAUUGGGGAAAGGAUCCAUGUGUGCAGAAAUUGGNCGUGGAUUAGUCAAUCCUAAACUAUAUGGUAGUUCCGUUYGAAAGUGCGYACUUGUGUGCCGUAUGGAGAAAGGGAAGCCCGUAAAUAUUCCGGCACCUGGCUGUGGAUUCUCCCCCGCAACGUAACUGAYCGCAGACACAACUGAYGGAGCCCUGGGAAGAGUUAUCUUUUCUUCUUAACGGCCUAUCACCCUGAAAUCGGUUUGUCCGGACCUAGGGUUUAACGGUCGGCAGAGCCUUACACUUUUGUAAGGACCGGUGCGUUCCCGACGUCCCUUGAAAAUCCGCGGGAAGGAAUAAUUUUCACGCCAGGUCGUACUCAUAACCGCCCCAGGUCUCCCAGGUGAAAAGCCUCUAUUUGAUAGAACAAUGUAUAUAAGGGAAGUCGGCCGAAUAGAUCCGUAACUUCCGGAAAAGGAUUGGCUCUAAGGAUUGAGUGCGUUGGGCCUUGGGUGAACACCCGGGGAGCAAGUGACUUCUAUCCGGGCAACCGGCCGGCGGUUGCCAGCAUCCCGCGGUUGACGCCCUUGGCAGUCUUCGGGCGUCCGGCGUGCGAUUAACAAUCAACUUANAUCUGGUACGGACAAGGGGAAUCUGACUGUCUAAUUA
rnacentral:rRNA from 2 species